UACGGAGGAUGCAAGCGUUAUCCGGAUUUAUUGGGUUUAAAGGGUGCGUAGGCGGAUAUGUAAGUCAGCGGUGAAACUCACAGGCUCAACCUGUGCCGUGCCGUUGAAACUGUGUAUCUGGAAUGCGGAUGCUGUGGGAGGAAUGUGUAGUGUAGCGGUGAAAUGCAUAGAUAUUACACAGAACACCGAUUGCGAAGGCAGCUUACUAAUGCAUCAUUGACGCUGAGGCACGAAAGCGUGGGGAU
rnacentral:rRNA from 1 species